UGGCGAAACGCGGGUUCGAACCAGGACUUUUAGAUCCUCGGUUUAAAGCUUUCGUAGCUGAGCUAUUCCGCC